AUGGGGUUCAGUAUGGGGCUCUAUGGGGUGUUAUGGGGUUCUAUGGGGGGUCUAUGGGGGAUUUGGGGUCAGUCUGAUGAGGGUCCUGAGCGAGAAGGACGUCGACCCCGUAAGGACCACGUCCAAUGAUAUAGUGGAGAUCUUCACUGUGCUGGGUAUCGAGGCCGUCCGUAAGGCCUCCCAUAUAGCCCCCUAUACAUGUAAUGGGCUGACCCUAUACACCUUAUAUACCCCCCUAUACCCUUAUAUACCCCCCUAUACAGGCAUAAAGCUGACCCAACACCCUAUAUACCCCCCUAUCCAGGUACAGGGGUGACCCUAUACCCUAUAUACCCCCUUAUACAUGUAUUGGGCUGACCCUAUAUACCCUAUAUCCCCUAUACCCUCCUAUAGGUGCUGGGUAUCGAGGUGGUCCAUGACCCUAAACAGGCAUUGGGGUGACCCUACACCCUAUAUACCCCCAUAUAGGUACUGUGCUGACCCUAUAUACCCCCAUAUAGGUACUGGGGUGGCCCUAUAUACCCUAUAUCCCCUAUAUCUCUAUAGGUGCUGGGUAUUGAAGUGGUGCGUGACCCUAUACCCUAUAUACCCCCAUAUAGGUACUGUGCUGACCCUAUAUCCCCUCUAUCCCCUAUAUCUAUAGGUGCUGGGUAUCGAGGUGGUCCGUGACCCUAAACAGGCAUUGGGGUGACCCUACACCCUAUAUACCCCCAUAUAGGUACUGUGCUGACCCUAUAUACCCCCAUAUAGGUACUGUGCUGACCCUCUAUCCCCUCUAUCCCCUCUAU